ACUAAGGGUGCAUUCGCGUUGGACGCUUACGCGCUGUGAGCGCUCACGCUUAUAAGCACAAAUUUUUAGUGUUCGAGAUGGCCUAUAGGCGCUUAGAAUCAAUAAAUAAAUUUCGUUCGUUUUGGAUAUUGUGAGCGUCAAUAAUCAUCAACAUGGCAACUGUUUAUCAAAUAAUUUAAAUUUUUAUUUUUUAAAUUUUAAUUUAAUUGUAAAUUUUAUUACUUUCUGGAUCAGUUAGCUCAACAGAAAUUAAUUUUGGUUGACUGCUUGCCAUUUUUGCGGGAUUGUAAAGAAUUUAACAAUUUAGAAAUAAAUGAAAUUUUUUGGUUAGCUUAUGCUCAAGUUGCAUUCGUUUUGACAGAUAAUAAAAAUUGGCGCUCACGCUUUCGCUGCCCUACCUCUGUGGCGUGAGCAUAAAUGAGCGCGAAGUCUGUGCUACGAACUCAGCCAUGAGCGUACUUAUGUGACACUCACAGCGCCAAGUCGAACGAUGAAAAUGACAUGUAAGCACGCUCACAGCGCGUAAGCGUCCAACGCGAAUGCACCCUAAGUGUUUGUUUUGUACUUAACCCCACGCCACGUGCUGAUAAUAUGUACGUCUUUUUCAUUGAAUGCAAGCUGGGCGUCACAGAAACUCGAGCGGGGUGUUUAGAGUUGUAGAAUUAUAUUCACCGACGGGUUGUAUUUGUUAGCGGUAGAAGUGACUCGAUUCAGGGCACCUUACGAGGCUAGCGGUAAAAGUGACUUAUGUUCAGGGCACCGUAUGAACCCGGCGAAAAUUUGCAUGCGUAAAUCACCCUUUUUCAUGAAAUGCUUGUAUUUUUUUCGGGUUUGCGCACGAUCUAGAUGGCUCAUUAACUUCAACGUGGCGUCAAGAGAUGCAGAAUUAAAUUCUCCAUCGGAUUGUAUUUGUUUGUUGCAGCAAUUCGACCGGCAACCUGCGAAAAUUUGCAAAAAAGGGAUUUCGCACCUGAGUCUGACAUCGUAGAAGGACCAUUCUGGUAUCAGAUUGGAUUUUGCACCUGAGUCUGACAUCGUAGAAGGACCUUUCGGGUAUCAGGUUGGAUUUUGCACCUGAGUCUGACAUCGUAGAAGGACCAUUCUUGUAUCAGAUUGGAUUUUGCACCUGAGUCUGACAUCGUAGACGGACCAUUCUUGCAUCACAUUGGAUUUUGCACCUGAGUCUGACAUCGUAGACGGACCAUUCUUGCAUCAGAUUGGAUUUUGCACCUGAGUCUGACAUCGUAGACGGACCAUUCUUGCAUCACAUUGGAUUUCGCACCUGAGUCUGACAUCGUAGACGGACCAUUCUUGCAUCACAUUGGAUUUUGCACCUGAGUCUGACAUCGUAGACGGACCAUUCUUGCAUCAGAUUGGAUUUUGCACCUGAGUUCGACAUCGUAGAAGGACCAUUCUUGCAUCAGAUUGUUAUUAUUAAAUUUCAUUAUCUUAAAUAACUUUUGUGAUUAUUACAUAAAUUGACUUCCAAAAUGUA